UACGUAGGGUCCGAGCGUUGUCCGGAAUUAUUGGGCGUAAAGGGCUCGUAGGCGGUUCGUCACGUCGGGAGUGAAAACUCGGAGCUUAACUCCGAGCCUGCUUCCGAUACGGGCAGACUAGAGGUAGGCAGGGGAGAGCGGAACUCCUGGUGUAGCGGUGGAAUGCGCAGAUAUCAGGAGGAACACCGGUGGCGAAGGCGGUUCUCUGGGCCUUACCUGACGCUGAGGAGCGAAAGUGUGGGGAGCGAACAGG
rnacentral:rRNA from 1 species